rnacentral:rRNA from 1 species
GAUGAACGCUGGCGGCGUGCCUAAUACAUGCAAGUCGAGCGAAUGGAUUAAGAGCUUGCUCUUAUGAAGUUAGCGGCGGACGGGUGAGUAACACGUGGGUAACCUGCCCAUAAGACUAGGAUAACUCCGGGAAACCGGGGCUAAUACCGGAUAACAUUUUGAACCGCAUGGUUCGAAAUUCAAAGGCGGCUUUGGCUGUCACUUAUGGAUGGACCCGCGUCGCAUUAGCUAGUUGGUGAGGUAACGGCUCACCAAGGCAACGAUGCGUAGCCGACCUGAAAGGGUGAUCGGCCACACUGGGACUGAGACACGGCCCAGACUCCUACGGGAGGCAGCAGUAGGGAAUCUUCCGCAAUGGACGAAAGUCUGACGGAGCAACGCCGCGUGAGUGAUGAAGGCUUUCGGGUCGUAAAACUCUGUUGUUAGGGAAGAACAAGUGCUAGUUGAAUAAGCUGGCACCUUGACGGUACCUAACCAGAAAGCCACGGCUAACUACGUGCCAGCCGCCGCAGUAA